UUGUUGGUAAGGUAAAAGCUUACCAAGGCUUCGAUCAGUAGCUGGUCUGAGAGGACGACCAGCCACACUGGGACUGAGACACGGCCCAGACUCCUACGGGAGGCAGCAGUGGGGAAUUUUGGACAAUGGGGGCAACCCUGAUCCAGCCAUGCCGCGUGAGUGAAGAAGGCCUUCGGGUUGUAAAGCUCUUUCAGCCGGAACGAAACGGUUACGGUUAACACCCGUGACUACUGACGGUACCGGAAGAAGAAGCACCGGCUAACUACGUGCCAGCAGCCGCGGUAAUACGUAGGGUGCGAGCGUUAAUCGGAAUUACUGGGCGUAAAGCGUGCGCAGGUGGUUUUGUAAGUCAGAUGUGAAAGCCCCGGGCUCAACCUGGGAACUGCGUUUGAAACUACAAGACUAGAGUGUGGCAGAGGGGGGUGGAAUUCCGCGUGUAGCAGUGAAAUGCGUAGAGAUGUGGGGGAACACCGAUGGCGAAGGCAGCCCCCUGGGUCAACACUGACGCUCAGGCACGAAAGCAUGGGGAGCAAACAGGAUUAGAUACCCUGGUAGUCCAUGCCCUAAACGAUGUCAACUAGUUGUCGGGCCUUUACGGGCUUGGUAACGUAGCUAACGCGUGAAGUUGACCGCCUGGGGAGUACGAUCGCAAGAUUAAAACUCAAAUGAAUUGACGGGGACCCGCACAAGCGGUGGAUUAUGUGGAUUAAUUCGAUGCAACGCGAAAAACCUUACCUACCCUUGACAUGUAUCGAAGCCCGCAGAAAAGCGGGGGUGCCCGAAAGGGAACGAUAACACAGGUGCUGCAUGGCUGUCGUCAGCUCGUGUCGUGAGAUGUUGGGUUAAGUCCCGCAACGAGCGCAACCCUUGUCAUUAAUUGCCAUCAUUUAGUUGGGCACUUUAAUGAGACUGCCGG
rnacentral:rRNA from 1 species